CAUGCUUAACACAUGCAAGUCGAACGCGCUUCGGGGUUUCGGCCUUGGGGCGAGUGGCGGACGGGGGAGUAACGCGUGGGAACCUGCCCUGUGGUUGGGGAUAACUGCGGGAAACUGCGGCUAAUACCCGAUGAGCCCUGGCGCGAGUUGGGGGAAAGAAGGAUCGCCAUGGGAGGGGCCCGCGUCGGAUUAGGUGGUUGGUGGGGUAACGGCCUACCAAGCCGGCGAUCCGUAGCUGGUCUGAGAGGAUGAUCAGCCACACUGGGACUGAGAUACGGCCCAGACUCCUACGGGAGGCAGCAGUGGGGAAUCUUGCGCAAUGGGCGAAAGCCUGACGCAGCCAUGCCGCGUGAAUGAUGAAGGUCUUAGGAUUGUAAAAUUCUUUCACCGGGGACGAUAAUGACGGUACCCGGAGAAGAAGCCCCGGCUAACUUCGUGCCAGCAGCCGCCGUAAGAC
rnacentral:rRNA from 1 species